UUCACUUUUAUAAUCCCAAAUUAAAUUCAAUUAGCUGUUCUUUAUAUUGAGUUAUUUUGAUUAUAUCAUGGAUUUUGAAAGCAUAACUGAGUUUCUUGCUAACAAAACCAUCUUCGUUACUGGUGCAACUGGUUUCAUUGCCAAGAGUACGUACAUACUCGAUUUCCUUGUCGAUCUUUCUUUUAAUUGAUUAUUGGAGUACUUACAGUACGUUAUACGUACACAUGUUUUCUCUGUUCUAACGUAGUAUAUCAUAUAUGUCCUCGUACCAUUGAUUAAAUAAAUUGCAGUUCUAGUGGAGAAGAUACUUCGGAUUCAACCAAAUGUUAACAAAUUAUACCUUCUUGUAAGGGCUAGAGAUGCUCAGGCAGCCCAUGUUCGGCUACAACAUGAGGUAAUUGUUAUUCGGAUGGAACACUACAAGAGGGGGGGUGAAUUGUAGUAUGGAACUUUCUAGCCAAUUUUGCGGAAUUAUAAAGAAACUUUAAGCAAGUAGAGAAACAAUGCAAGAGAGAUUUUACGAGGAAACUUUCUACGCCCAACUAGAAAGAAAACCUCGACCCACUAGAGAUUUCAACUUAAACUCUUUUCACUAUAGGGCAACAACUCAGUUACAAACCUAUAAGGAACUCGGGCAUUACUUGAGUUCCUCUACGAACUCAAGUUCCAAUAGUUGUUCCUCAAACAACUACGCUCUCACUGACUUCCCUAGAAGUCUCUCUUGACUCUUUUGCUUCACUCAAAGCCUAUCAGCUUCUCUCUCAUAGACUUCACUCAAAGCCUCCCCAAAUACAACAGGAACUCACUCAAGUUCCUACCCCAUACACAUCAGGAACUCACUCAAGUUCCUGCCACUAGUGGAAAAACAAUCAUUUGCAUCACCACAUUUGCCUCGCACAUUUAAACAUGUGACGCAAUUGACAGUUCUAAGCUUUAAAAUUAGUCAUUUGCGUCGCAGAAUUAUUAAUCUGCGACGCAAAUGACUCUAAAAUGUUCUCAGAGUCAUUUGCGUCGCAGAUUAGUAAUAAUGCGACGCAAAAUAUUACCUCCUUUGCGUCGCAGAAUUACUAAUCUGCGACGCAAAUGACUCUUUAAGUCACCUGCGUCGCAGAUUAGUAAUUCUGCGACGCAGAGGAGGUAAAAAAAAUUCGGAAGUUUUUAAUUAUUCCUUCUCCCCUCUUUUUCUCUCUCUUCUUCUUUCCAGAACUCCAUUCAUGAGAUGUCAAUACCUCUCAAUCUUUCAUUCAUUUGAAAUCUCCUCUAACCACUAUACGUAUUUUGCCUUUAAUUUACCCGGAAAAAUCAAGAUUUGCGAAAACACGGCUCGAAGAGAAAAAUCCUAGAUUCCGCCGCGAAGAAGGAGACAUUUCAAAGCAGUGCAGCUCGAUUGCUAGCGAGUCUCCGAUCCAAUUCUGCGAAUUAGUUCGUCGGCGAUUUAGGUACAGCGCAAUUUAUGUUAAUUAGGGUUCUUGUUUAUCAGCCUACGGUGUAUAGAAGAUUUCAAGGGUUCUUGUUUAUCAGCCUAUUUCUAGGGUUUUUAAGGUUGGGUGAAACGCCAAACCGUUGGAGCUGGAUCUUCGGUUAACGUCGCCGCCGUCAUUGAUUACCUUAUUUCUUAGAUGGUGCCUGAUAUUGUAGAGGGUGAUGGGUUUGUUGGGAGGCAGCCUCAUAUCAAGUAUGAGCUCAGAGAUAGUCCUGGUCUUGGAGGAUACAACCAAUGUGUAUUCUUCAACUGCAGUUAUAGUAGUUCGGAUACUCCACUGAGUGAGGGUCAGUGCCAUUGGUUUUCUCCCAAGGGUUCUACUUUGCUUAAAGCGGGCUCUAAAAAUCGCAAAUGCCGCUCAACAGAUGGCUAAUGCUACUCGGGGUAGUGGUGGUUUAGUUAUGCUGUUCAUUGAAAUCAUCAAUAAGUAUCUCUAUUUUUUUGAGAAGGGAAACAACCAAAUCACCGUCAAUACAAUCCAGGAUCUAAUGGAAUUAAUUACUACAGAGAUGCAAAGUGAUAAUGCGGCAACAGAUUCUGCUGCUGAAGCUUUCUUUGCAAGCACAUUGCGGUACAUCCAAUUCCAGAAACAAAAAGGUGGCGCAGUUAGUGAGAAAUAUGAACCUAAUGUUAGUUUUUUUGUUGAUCUGGGAGAACUGAAAAGUUAAAACUUGAGAAAGGGAAACAAACUCGGUAACAAUUGCUCUUCAAUCCGCUAAACUUGUGAGAAUUGUCGCCUUUGAUCUUGCUCUUGGGACUCUUGAAUGGUUCCCUCAUUUGUCUUUGAAUACGCUGACGCUGACGCUGCGUGCUACGUGUGUCAUGGGAAGUUGCUUAUCCAAGCAUGAUCUCAACUCUCAAAUUGAUUUGGUAAUUGAAAUUUUGAAGCGUCCAGGAGAAGUCCUCCCUGUUUGUCUUAGUGUCGCACGAACGCUGUAAAUUCAUAAUUUAGUGUGCUUCAAUUUUAAUUUCUCGGCUUUUUUUUUCUCGGUUCAAAUUUUUAUUUUUAUUUCAUAUUGUAAUUUGUUUGAUUUUGGUCUGACAAUGGAGUUUUUUUCAUCUGCUUGAAUGAUA